rnacentral:rRNA from 1 species
CAGCGUCCACAAGUGGGAGUCGUCAUUAUUUGGCCUAAAGCGUCCGUAGCUGGUUUAGUAAAUCUUUUGUGAAAUCGUUUCGCUCAACGGAACGGCGUGCAGAAGACACUGCUGAACUAGGGACCGGGAGGAGUCAGAGGUAUGCUAGGGGGAGCGGUAAAAUGCUAUAAUCCCUAGUAGACCACCUGUGGCGAAGGCGUCUGACUAGAACGGGUCCGACAGUGAGGGACGAAAGCCAGGGGAGCAAACCGGAUUAGAUACCCGAGUAGUCC